UACGGAGGGUGCAAGCGUUAUCCGGAAUCACUGGGUUUAAAGGGUGCGUAGGCGGCGUUAUAAGUCAGAAGUGAAAGCCCUCAGCUUAACUGGGGAAUUGCUUUUGAUACUGUAGUGCUUGAAUCACGUUGAGGUUAGCGGAAUGUGACAUGUAGCGGUGAAAUGCAUAGAUAUGUCAUAGAACACCAAUUGCGUAGGCAGCUAACUAGGCGUGUAUUGACGCUGAGGCACGAAAGCGUGGGGAGCGAACAGG
rnacentral:rRNA from 1 species